rnacentral:rRNA from 1 species
UUAUUAUGGAGAGUUUGAUCCUGGCUCAGGACGAACGCUGGCGGCGUGCCUAACACAUGCAAGUCGAACGGGGAUUUUGUUUCGGCAGAAUCCUAGUGGCGAACGGGUGAGUAACGCGUAGGCAACCUGCCCUCCGGCCGGGGACAACACUCCGAAAGGGGUGCUAAUACCGGAUACGAAGUCUGUGCCGCAUGGUACGGAUUUGAAAGAUGGCCUCUAUUUAUAAGCUAUCGCCGGGGGAUGGGCCUGCGUCCGAUUAGCUGGUUGGUGGGGUAACGGCCUACCAAGGCGACGAUCGGUAGCCGGUCUGAGAGGAUGAACGGCCACAUUGGGACUGAGACACGGCCCAGACUCCUA